UCUUGUUCAAGGUAUUGUACAUAUGCAACUCAUUUAUCAAUGUAAAAUAAACUUCUAGUCCUUGAAACCUACUAUUACAAACUAUUCAGGAUAAUAAAGAAAUACAGGUUAUACUGGGCGGUGGUGUCGAAUGCCUUUAAUCCCAGCACUCGGGAG